GGGGCCGUUUUUGGUUUCGACAAAAGUAGAUUUUGUUUUAUGUGCAAGUGGUUGCUGACCUAAUCAGCAAACAGUUAAAAUAACUGACAAAUUUAAUUUUAAUACUGAACUAGCAUUUGCCUAAUUAUUGGCAUUGGUUCACUCUUUAUAGACUAAUUCUACAGAGUUUAUAACGGGUUCAUAAUAGUAGAAUAUAUUUAAUAAAUUGCUUAGUUUAUUAGAAGAAUUUUUAUAAGCUUAGUUAAUGAUUCUUUAGAUAAUUUGUGGGUCAUUAAUGAAAUAAUAAAUUAUCUAAACUUGUAGAUCAUACUAUGAAAUACUUUUGGACGUGAGUUCAAUUCUCACCGGCUCCACCA
rnacentral:tmRNA from 1 species